UACGUAGGGUGCAAGCGUUAAUCGGAAUUACUGGGCGUAAAGCGUGCGCAGGCGGUGAUGUAAGACAGUUGUGAAAUCCCCGGGCUCAACCUGGGAACUGCAUCUGUGACUGCAUCGCUGGAGUGCGGCAGAGGGGGAUGGAAUUCCGCGUGUAGCAGUGAAAUGCGUAGAUAUCGGAAGGAACAUCAGUGGCGAAAGCGACUUCCUGGACCAGUACCGACGUUCAGGCACGAAAGCGUGGGGAGCAAACAGG
rnacentral:rRNA from 1 species